UGCGUAGGCGGUUAGUUAAGUCUGUUGUGAAAUCCCCGGGCUCAACCUGGGAAUGGCAAUGGAAACUGGCUAGCUAGAGUGUGUCAGAGGAUGGUGGAAUUUCCGGUGUAGCGGUGAAAUGCGUAGAGAUCGGAAGGAACAUCAGUGGCGAAGGCGGCCAUCUGGGGCGAACACUGACGCUGAAGCACGAAAGCUGGGGGAGCAAACA
rnacentral:rRNA from 1 species